UCUCAGAACAGACCUGGGAACCAUCCUUGGAACUGAAGAAGAUAAGACUUACUUCUUUUCAAGCCCGUACUGUCUCCCAGUUCCCUAUGAAUUAGGUCUACUGAAAAGGAAGUUAACACUAUCUCAUGACUGGGCUGUACAAGUGGAGAUGGACAGAAUUUUAAAAGGAGAAAACACCAAGCAGUACACACAAUGAAACAGAAGUAGUUGAACAGAAUAAUUUAAGAAGCAUUGUGAAAAGAACUAUUGCCAAGUUUUGGAGGUCUCUUAACACCACUUCAACAGACA